UACGUAGGGUGCAAGCGUUAAUCGGAAUUACUGGGCGUAAAGCGUGCGCAGGCGGUGAUGUAAGACCGACUGAAAUCCCCGGCUUAACCUGGGAACUGCAUUGGUGACUGCAUUGCUAGAGUAUGGCAGAGGGGGGUGGAAUUCCACGUGUAGCAGUGAAAUGCGUAGAGAUGUGGAGGAACACCGAUGGCGAAGGCAGCCCCCUGGGCCAAUACUGACGCUCAUGCACGAAAGCGUGGGGAGCAACAGG
rnacentral:rRNA from 1 species